rnacentral:misc_RNA from 1 species
UUUCCGUAGGUGAACCAGCGGAGGGAUCAUUACCGAGUUUACAACUAACAACCCCCAUGUGACCGCUGCCAAACUCUUGCCUCCGCGGGGUCACGCCCCCGGUGCGUCGCACCCCCGGAACCAGGCGCCCGCCGCAGGGACCGACCAAACUCUGGCUGUAGUCCCCCCGCGGACGUUCUUUCUUACAGUACUGAGCAAAAAUUCAAGAUGACUAAAAACUUUCAACAACGGAUCUCUUGGUUCUG